rnacentral:rRNA from 1 species
CGGUGCGGCUAGCUAUACAUGCAAGUCGAGCGGACAGAUGGGAGCUUGCUCCCUGAUGUUAGCGGCGGACGGGUGAGUAACACGUGGGUAACCUGCCUGUAAGACUGGGAUAACUCCGGGAAACCGGGGCUAAUACCGGAUGCUUGUUUGAACCGCAUGGUUCAAACAUAAAAGGUGGCUUCGGCUACCACUUACAGAUGGACCCGCGGCGCAUUAGCUAGUUGGUGAGGUAAUGGCUCACCAAGGCAACGAUGCGUAGCCGACCUGAGAGGGUGAUCGGCCACACUGGGACUGAGACACGGCCCAGACUCCUACGGGAGGCAGCAGUAGGGAAUCUUCCGCAAUGGACGAAAGUCUGACGGAGCAACGCCGCGUGAGUGAUGAAGGUUUUCGGAUCGUAAAGCUCUGUUGUUAGGGAAGAACAAGUGCCGUUCAAAUAGGGCGGCACCUUGACGGUACCUAACCAGAAAGCCACGGCUAACUACGUGCCAGCAGCCGCGGUAAUACGUAGGUGGCAAGCGUUGUCCGGAAUUAUUGGGCGUAAAGGGCUCGCAGGCGGUUUCUUAAGUCUGAUGUGAAAGCCCCCGGCUCAACCGGGGAGGGUCAUUGG